UACGUAGGCAGCGAGCGUUGUUCGGAGUUACUGGGCGUAAAGCGUGCGUAGGCGGUGUCUUAAGUCUGUUGUGAAAUCUCCCGGCUUAACCGGGAGGGUGCGGCGAAUACUGAGAUGCUGGAGUGCCGGAGAGGUAAGCGGAAUUCCAGGUGUAGCGGUGAAAUGCGUAGAUAUCUGGAGGAACACCGGUGGCGAAGGCGGCAUCCUGGACCAAUUCUGACGCUGAGGAGCGAAAGCCAGGGGAGCAAACGGG
rnacentral:rRNA from 1 species